rnacentral:snRNA from 15 species
UGGGAGGAAAGAACUGUCGAGAUCAGAGGUGAAACUGGCGAGGUUUAUUCGAUAAGGCCUUGUGGGGAGCGAGAUUGGCCGCGAUCUUUAAAGGAUCCUAAUAUGAUUUUACCUAGGCCGAAGUUGGCAUACGAGCAGGCGGAGGAGAGGCAAUCCGAUUGCGGGGG